rnacentral:tRNA from 1 species
GUCGGAAUAGCUCAGUUGGGAGAGCGUUGGACUAAAUUGUUUAUGCAACAAUCAUCUAGAGGCCCCCGGUUCAAUCUCGGGUUCCGGCA